UUGGAGGGCAAGUCUGGUGCCAGCAGCCGCGGUAAUUCCAGCUCCAAUAGCGUAUAUUAAAGUUGUUGCAGUUAAAAAGCUCGUAGUUGAAUUUCGGGAUCAGUACGCUGGUCAUGCCUUUGGUAUGCACUGGUGUCACUGGUUUCUCCCUUCUGAAGAUCCGUGAUGUCAUUAAUUUGGUGUCGCGGGGAAUCAGGACUGUUACUUUGAAAAAAUUAGAGUGUUUAAAGCAGGCUCACGCUUGAAUACAUUAGCAUGGAAUAAUGAAAUAGGACGUUUGACCCUAUUUUGUUGGUUUCUAGGAUCGACGUAAUGAUUAAUAGGGAUAGUUGGGGGCAUUAGUAUUCAAUUGUCAGAGGUGAAAUUCUUGGAUUUAUUGAAGACUAACUACUGCGAAAGCAUUUGCCAAGGAUGUUUUCAUUAAUCAAGAACGAAAGUUAGGGGAUCGAAGACGAUCAGAUAUCGUCGUAGUCUUAACCAUAAACUAUGCCGACUAGGGAUCGGAUGAUGUUAAUUUUAUAAUGACUCAUUCGGCGCCUUACGGGAAACCAAAGUGUUUGGGUUC
rnacentral:rRNA from 1 species